rnacentral:tRNA from 1 species
GGCCACGUGGUGAAGCUGGUUUAACACAGCGGUCUGCAAAACCGCGAUUCGCCGGUUCAAAUCCGGCCGUGGCCUCCA